AAUGUGUGGUUGAAAAUGAGUUUUGGAAAAAUAAAUUUUUAGAAGAAUGGUGUUCAAACAAGGGCUUAAGUAAUAUUUCUUUAGAUUAAGUUAUAAGGAAAAUUGCAGUAGCGAUCCCUAACCUUUUCAAUUUUUUCAAACUUUACCCUAACCUUCAAUUUGUACCAGCUAAGAUCCCUAACCUUUCAGAAAUAUGCACCUGAGAUCCAAAUGGAUGGAAACUGUCCAUUUGACCAUUAGUUGACAAAUAAAAUGAUUUUGCCACAUUAUUAAUUAUUUCUAUAAGGGUACCUUUCUCUCUUUCCAUAUAAAAAAAUUACAAUAAUUAAAUGAAAAAUAAAAAUCAUCAUCUUCCACAACUACCCCAUCCCCAUCUAAACCCCUACCCUUAUCCUUGCCUCAAAACCCAACCCUAGCUACCCAUCAUUGUCCUAAUCUGCCCACCGCCAUCAAUUCACAACCUCCACCACGUCUGCUACGCUCUUAUUCGUUGCCAAUUGAACCCAAAUGAGAAAUCAAAAUCGAUGCCACCACCACUUCGCCUCAAAAUUGAUGCCAUCACCACCUCUGAUUGCAAUGGUGAGCUACUCCUAUCUAUAUAUGAAAUUAAAUCAAGUUUUGACCAUCCAACAUUCUCAAGUUCAAUUUACGACUGCCAUUCCUCUACAAAUGUCAAGACAUUUCUUCUCUAAUUCUCAAAUUUCCUUAGAAUUUUGUGCGGCAGCACCAGAGCUUGGAGAAACUGCAACAACAUGAGCGCUUCUCAAACGGAGACUAUUUCAUGGUUUAACAACCAGCUUGCCAGCGAUGCUGCAGCUAAGGCCAUUGAGAAAGCUUGGACCAAGAAACAAAUUUUGCAAUUGCUGCUGCAGGAGUUGGAAUUGAGCCUAGAUUUGAAGAAUCUAGGAUGGUAUUAGGAUACUUAGCCCAGUGGCACUAUCAAUUUGGUGGAUUUCCUCUGAGUUUGUGGUAGGGGUGUCUGGUGUUUGAGGAUUGCAGGAGGAGGUGGUGGAUGUGUAGUGGUAGUGUUGGUGGUUCUUAUUUAAUUUUCAAUUUCUGCAGAUUCAUUGAUUGAGGUGGUGGCGGCUGUGAAUUUAGUGGUUGUGGCAGCAACAAACGGUGGUGGUUUUAGGCAAUGGAUUGUGGGGUGGGGUGGGGAAGGCAAUGAAUAGUUUUUUUCCUUUUAUUUUAAUUGUUUUAUAGGGUUCAAUAGCAAAGUUACCCUUUAAAUUGGUCAAAGUUCGUUAAAGUUCAAUUUUAUUGGUCAACUAACAGUCAAAUGGAUGAUUUCCAUCUAUUUGAAUGGUUUCCUCUGACAAUAACUCAUUCCACAAGCCAUAUAGCUUUGAAGUGACAUUUACCAUUUUUUGUACUUUCCAUUAAUGCCCUUUACUUUCCAUAGGCGGCUGGCACUUGUAUUUCCAAUUAGAAUCUAAGGGCAAAAUAGACAGCUUAGUUUCAACAGUAUUUUCCAAUUUGUAUCUGUUCUGACAUUUGUCUGACUUCUUAUCCUGUGUUAUCAUUCAUUAUUGUAGGGGGAAUGAGAUUUGGUCUAAAAAAAACUCAUUAAAAUGAGUACCAAAUGGCACUAGGUUUAAUAAUUCUAUAAAAUUUUAGUUUAUCAGAUAUUCUUUUGACUUUAGAUUCUUUAUUUUAGACUUGAGCCCCAUUUUAUUAUAUUAAGAAUGCAUUUUGAAAUAGUAAAUUGAUGGAGAAUGUGCGAUUGAAAAUAAUGGAGAUCAAACAAAGGUUAUAUAAAUAAGGUUUUAUUUAUGAAUAAUAUUUACAUCUCAUUAUUUUUAGUUCUUUUUGUCCUAGCUUGUGGGAUCGUGUUUCGUUGGCCUUCAUUUCAGUUUUGUGAUAAAAAUAGGUUUUUCUUUUUUGCGGUAUAAAUCUGCCUUCGUUUUUUGUCCAUUUUAGUUUCAUAUCAAAGAAAGUUAAUUUUGUUUUGUUUCUUUGUAUUUUACUGUUGGUCAUUGCUGGAAAUUGAUAUUCUUGUGUGGAUGCAUGUGAGGGAUCUUGCCUCGCUCAUAUUCGCUUCAGUUCUAUGGCACAUAGCAGGUUUGUUUUAGGUUAAAUUUAUAGAUUAAGUAUGCUGGUCCUUUUUUUUAAUGCAUAUGUAUGAUGUCUUUCAGUUUUGACGCAGUUCUUUUUCCUUUUUUUGCCUGUCUAGGGGCCUUUUUCCUCGAUUUUGUUUUAACCAUUGUACUAGAGCACAGGUAAAUCAUAUUCUUUUUUUGUUUUUUGUUCUAUUAGUUCAAAAACAUUUAGCAUGUUGUUGAAGAUGUUGGCAUGA